rnacentral:sRNA from 1 species
CUAAAGGGAAGUUCGAUUAGUAUCGCUACGUCACGUAGCAACAUCGAACCAACCCACGUCGUGUGGG